rnacentral:rRNA from 1 species
AUUGAACGCUGGCGGCAGGCUUAACACAUGCAAGUCGAACGCCCCGCAAGGGGAGUGGCAGACGGGUGAGUAACGCGUGGGAACAUACCCUUUCCUGCGGAAUAGCUCCGGGAAACUGGAAUUAAUACCGCAUACGCCCUACGGGGGAAAGAUUUAUCGGGGAAGGAUUGGCCCGCGUUGGAUUAGCUAGUUGGUGGGGUAAAGGCCUACCAAGGCGACGGUCCAUAGCUGGUCUGAGAGGAUGAUCAGCCACAUUGGGACUGAGACACGGCCCAAACUCCUACGGGAGGCAGCAGUGGGGAAUAUUGGACAAUGGGCGCAAGCCUGAUCCAGCCAUGCCGCGUGAGUGAUGAAGGCCUUAGGGUUGUAAAGCUCUUUCACCGAUGAAGAUAAUGACGGUAGUCGGAGAAUAAGCCCCGGCUAACUUCGUGCCAGCCGCCGCGGUAA